UGGGGAAUAUUGCACAAUGGGCGAAAGCCUGAUGCAGCAACGCCGCGUGAGGGACGACGGCCUUCGGGUUGUAAACCUCUUUUAGCAAGGAAGAAGCGAAAGUGACGGUACUUGCAGAAAAAGCGCCGGCUAACUACGUGCCAGCAGCCGCGGUAAUACGUAGGGCGCAAGCGUUAUCCGGAAUUAUUGGGCGUAAAGAGCUCGUAGGCGGUUUGUCGCGUCUGCUGUGAAAACCCGAGGCUCAACCUCGGGCCUGCAGUGGGUACGGGCAGACUAGAGUGCGGUAGGGGAGAUUGGAACUCCUGGUGUAGCGGUGGAAUGCGCAGAUAUCAGGAAGAACACCGAUGGCGAAGGCAGAUCUCUGGGCCGUAACUGACGCUGAGGAGCGAAAGGGUGGGGAGCAAACAGGCUUAGAUACCCUGGUAGUCCACCCCGUAAACGUUGGGAACUAGUUGUGGGGUCCAUUCCACGGAUUCCGUGACGCGGCUAACGCAUUAAGUUCCCCGCCUGGGGAGUACGGCCGCAAGGCU
rnacentral:rRNA from 1 species